GAUGAAGAACGUAGUAAAAUGCGAUAAGUAAUGUGAAUUGCAGAAUUCAGUGAAUCAUCGAAUCUUUGAACGCACAUUGCGCCCGCCAGUAUUCUGGCGGGCAUGCCUGUUCGAGCGUCAUUUCAACCCUCAAGCACAGCUUGGUGUUGGGACUCGCGUUAAUUCGCGUUCCUCAAAUUGAUUGGCGGUCACGUCGAGCUUCCAUAGCGUAGUAGUAAAACCCUCGUUACUGGUAAUCGUCGCGGCCACGCCGUUAAACACCAACUUCUGAAUGUUGACCUCGGAUCAGGUAGGAAUACCCGCUGAACUUAAGCAUAUCAAUAAGCGGAGGA
rnacentral:misc_RNA from 1 species